GGGACUCAGUGCCCCCUAUGCAGUGCUUGGGAGCACCCUGUGGGCAGCUCUCCUUUGAGCUGAGGGCUCCCGAGAAGGCCAACGCAGCCCAGAGGGGCCUGACUGCUGGGAAAAGAAAACCCCAUGGCUAAUUCAGCACAAACUCAUUAUUUAAUAGGCAAAGUCAAUAUGAAAAAAGGCAUUUCCCUUCCCUCCCCGAAAUUUACAGUUAUGAGAAGAGCCAGAGAGCUGCAGAGCCAGGCUAUCUCUGGGUGACAUUUACAGGGCUCAGCUUUCAUCGCAGCUUGAAAAAAAAAAUCCCAUAUGUGCAGCAAUUAUCUACACACUGAUCUGGAUUGUCUUGUUCAGCUUUGGCCCUCAUCCUAGAUGGACGAGGAGCAGAACGCUUGGCUAGUGGCCUGAGGUCUGUGGCCUCCUCUGCAUGAGCUGGGAAGAGGAGGAGCAGUCUCCAAGGUACUUGAGAACUCGCAGCCUUGGGACCUAAGGAGAUGGAGAGGGGGAGUGCAGUUCAGAUCCCCCACGGGGGCUCAGUGCUGUGCCCUCGGCCAAGGUGAGAGGGGCGAGCCUUGCUUGGUGCUGCUCUGAGCUCAAGAUGGAAGCGGCUCACAACCCAUGGCAGCUCUGGAUUGGGGUCACCGCCCCCCGGUGCCCUUUGCUGAAGGUUUUGGGAGGUGGGGGACAUCAGGCCCCUUGGUGCUGGCCUCCCUUGUCCUCUGGUGUGGGGGAAGCCAGCAGAGCCCUGCUCCAGACACGCGGCUUAGCCCCAGAGCCACAGCCACUGCUGCAUCAAGUCAGUUGUCAGAAGCCUUCCAGCCGGACGCUGUCUGGAGACCUUCCAGCGACCACAGGCUCUCCCCCAGCCCAUCACUGCCACAGCACAGACAGGAUUUAAUGGAUGUCUGCGUGUUCUCCUAACCUUUCCCCUCUCUAGAUGAAGCAGGGAAUAAAAAUAAGCCCGCAGGUUUGUGAGGACCCCCAGCCCAGACGGCGAUGACCACAACUCUUCUGGACCAGAGUGGAAUGGGCCAUCUCCAGGUGUGGAGCUCCCACUCACACAGCACUGCUCAGCGAAAGCAGUGCCACCCCACAGCAGCUCCUCGCAGAUGUUCCUCUUGGCUUGAGCCCAGCAGCAAGGGCUCUAUGCUAACCCGAUCCCAGGCAGAGGGGAAGUGGGAGCGGGUAGGACAGCACGUUAUCCUCGUGGCACUGCUGCAGACCAGGCUGCGUGGAGCGGGAUGGCGCAUCCUCCCAUCCCAGCAAUUGCUUCCAUGUAUACCUCUGCUCUCCUCACUUGUGGCUGGGAUGGGGACGGGCUGUGUGUCACCUCGUCCCCAGGAGCCCUCACUGGGUGUGCAGAAUGGCUCCUGGGGAGAUUACGUGGAGGAAGAGGAGGAGGAGGAGAGCUGGCUGUGGGAUGCUGGUGAACAAGGUUAUGGAAAGAAGGAAAAGGAAUCCCCUGGGAUUUCCUUCCAUCUCCCAGCUUGUCCUUGGAUUGCAGGUACCCUGCUGCACCCUCUUUGCAGCCUCUGGCAAGAUGCUGAGGUCGGCUUUGCAAGGGGACGGGGAACGAAGUGGGAACAUCGUGUCCCUUGACAGCCCCAGGCAGCUGACGAGGAGCUUCUGUAAAUCACAGCGGCUGCCAGAGCUGCUCCAACAGCUCACCCCUGCCCAGGAGGCCUCAGAGCAUCCCUGAGGCUCUGUACGUGCACACUCCGUACACCGACAGCCCUGGAUGGGCUCUCCCUGCAUUGUGAUUAACACCCACGGACAGUGCCACCCCGUCCCCAUCACCCCAUCCUCUGCAGCACUCACAGCUGCACAUCCUGGCUGCGCUCCAUCACCUCCCAGCCGUGCCGUGGGAUGCUUAACGCGCGCCUGUAACAAACACAAACGAUUGUGACAGAAGAUACCCGGCGCCUAAUGCUACUCAGCCUCAGGUUAAACCAUCUCCCGUUUGCAGUGCUCCACAUUCAGCGUAGAGCAUCCGAUGAGGGCCGGCAGAUCCCUGCUCUGGCUUCAGCAAUAAAUAAGCAAACCGACCAG
ensembl:lncRNA